UUACGCCCAUAUCACGUUGAAACACCGGUUCCAUUAUGAUCACCAAAGUUAAGCAAUCUCGAGCCUAGUCUGUCUCUCGAUGGGUGACCGCUUGUAAAUACCAAGUGA